UAUGAGGAGCCAUGCAUGUAU
rnacentral:miRNA from 1 species